UACGUAGGGUGCAAGCGUUGUCCGGAAUUAUUGGGCGUAAAGAGCUCGUAGGCGGUUUGUCGCGUCUGCUGUGAAAUCCCGAGGCUCAACCUCGGGCUUGCAGUGGGUACGGGCAGACUAGAGUGCGGUAGGGGAGAUUGGAAUUCCUGGUGUAGCGGUGGAAUGCGUAGAUAUCUGGAGGAACACCGGUGGCGAAGGCGGCAUCCUGGACCGACACUGACACUGAGGAGCGAAAGCCAGGGGAGCAAACGGG
rnacentral:rRNA from 1 species